GCCUUCGUGGUGUAGUGGUCAGCACGCUCGGCACGUAUUCGAGAGGCCCGUUGUUCGAAUCCGGUGAAGUCG
rnacentral:tRNA from 1 species